rnacentral:rRNA from 1 species
GACGAACGCUGGCGGCGUGCUUAACACAUGCAAGUCGAACGGGGCACCCCUGAAGGAGUUUUCGGACAACGGAAGGGAAUGCUUAGUGGCGGACUGGUGAGUAACGCGUGAGGAACCUGCCUUUCGGAGGGGGACAACAGUUGGAAACGACUGCUAAUACCGCAUGAUACGUUGGAGUCGCAUGGCUCUGACGUCAAAGAUUUAUCGCCGAAAGAUGGCCUCGCGUCUGAUUAGCUAGUUGGUGGGGCAACGGCCCACCAAGGCGACGAUCAGUAGCCGGACUGAGAGGUUGGCCGGCCACAUUGGGACUGAGAUACGGCCCAG